CUGCCAUUUGAUGUAGUGAAAACACAUAGGCAGACUGAACUUUGGGAGUGAGAGACCUUAAAAAGUGCUGUUCCACAGAGGGAUAGUACAUCGACCUGGGCAGUUAUGAGGAAAAUUUUCGCUAAAAAUGGGAUUACUGGAUUAUUUGCUGGUAUUAUUGCACGGCUGUUUAAAGUUGCUCCUGCAUGUGCCCUAAUGAUCAGCACAUACGAAUAUGGAAAGUCUUUUUUUUUCUCAUUUAAAUGGAAAGAUGAGCCAACAUCCUUAUUCUACUUCAUCUGAUUGUAUGAAGUCAAAAUACAGGGUGGAAGUUGUGCCAAAUUUGAAUCUGUGAAGGUAUUUUCUAGAACUCCCAGUGAACGUCUGUCAUUAUAUUUGGUAACAAAUACAACUUCAUUUUUAACACAAAGGAUAAAUUCACUUUUUUCUUAAGACUAAGAACAUAAUCAUGACAGUCUAUCAGUGAAGACUUUGUGACUUCUCUUGCCACUAGAUGGAAAUAGAAAUGAGAAAAUAAAACAGAUGCUGACUGUUCUUCUGUGAUGGUUAAAAGGAAAAAAAAGGAGACUGGACAGAAUAAUGAGGAAUAAUCACUGCCACUGUGUUAAUAUUCAGUCCAACUAAAAACUUUUGUUGGGUAUGUAAAAUGAGGUUUAGAAAAUUGUAUGAUAUGAUUAUUCUUCCAUAAGGAGGUUGAUACAGAAUGAAUUCAAUAAAUGUUUAUUUAUUUUGCUUAA